AAAGCGCACGUAGGCUGACUGGAAAGUCAGAGGUGAAAUCCCAGGGCUCAACCUUGGAACUGCCUUUGAAACUCCCAGUCUUGAGGUCGAGAGAGGUGAGUGGAAUUCCGAGUGUAGAGGUGAAAUUCGUAGAUAUUCGGAGGAACACCAGUGGCGAAGGCGGCUCACUGGCUCGAUACUGACGCUGAGGUGCGAAAGCGUGGGGAGCAAACAGGAUUAGAUACCCUAGU
rnacentral:rRNA from 1 species